rnacentral:snoRNA from 1 species
GCCCUUCUCAAAAGCACUCGUUGGGUCUUUGUGCCGUGGCUCAGUGAGUUGUCGUGGAAGGGCAGAGAAAAGGGCAUCGCUUUUGGGUGAAGUGGCAGCUUGUGCUGUUUGUUUCAAUCAGCGAUGUGACACGG